rnacentral:misc_RNA from 1 species
GAUGAAGAACGUAGCGAAAUGCGAUACGUAAUGUGAAUUGCAAAUUCAGUGAAUCAUCGAGUCAUUGAACGCAGAUUGCGCGCCCUGGUAUUCCGGGGGGCAUGCCUGUCCGAGCGUCAUUGCUGCCCUCAAGCACGGCUUGUGUGUUGGGCCCCGUCCUCCGAUCCCGGGGGACGGGCCCGAAAGGCAGCGGCGGCACCGCGUCCGGUCCUCGAGCAUAUGGGGCUUUGUCACCCGAUCCGUAGGCCCGGCCGGCGCUUGCCGAUCAACCCAAAUUUUUUAUCCAGGUUGACCUCGGAUCAGGUAGGGAUACCCGCUGAACUUAAGCAUAUCAAUAAGCGGAGGA